rnacentral:misc_RNA from 1 species
GUUCAUUACAAAAUAUUUCCUCAUCUUUGCCUUAAAAUACACUUUGAUUGUUGCUGUUUAAAAAUUAGCAAUUUUAAUCUAUAUACUACCAUUUGUGAAAAUAACAAUAUUUGGAGGGACUAAUGUGUUCUACAAUAUAGUAAUUUAGAGAUUAUAGUCCUAUUAAAAUUUGAAACUUUACUUCAGAUACUAAAGAGUAAUCUAAUCUAAAAUGUUAUGGACUUGAGUGUAGUGAUUUUAUAAUUUUAUAAUCAUGGACUAAAAAGUUGAAUUAUUAAGCGUCUUAAUUGAUUAAAAUUGCUAAUUUUCAAACAGUAUUAUAGUAAGGACCAAAGUGUA